CCUGGAGAAACUGGAGUGUUCUGGCAGGAGUUGGACCUGGGACCAAGACUGGAGAUGCCUCUUGAUGAUACCCGGACCUUGGAAGAAGGAAAGAGUCCAGGCUGGGAAGCGGACAGGCAUUGGCAAUGAAUCAUCUGUUCCAUCUGACCUGCUCUCUCGACUCUCUGCGACAGAGUUUAGUUCCUUUCCCACAGUUGCUCCUCAACACACACUGAUCUUAUACAUGAACCUCCUCAUCAAGGAACCACCUUCGAGCAUCCAUGCGGUGCUGGGUCAGGUGCCAAAGAACAAAGUGUCUCAGACUUGGGCCAAUGAUUCUGUUUCAUCCACGUUGAGAAAACAGAAGCUCAUGGAAUCAUAUCCAAAGCUUAUCCCAGAUCUGCCUGAUGACUACUUGUGCUCUUAAUCCCCUCACGUUGGGUGCCUCUUGAAGAGAUGAAUUGUAAUAGGGUGAAAUAGAAUUCUGGAAUUCCAACUCAAAAGAUCAGAAGUGCAAAUUCAAGAUUUGGAAACCCUGGCUUGCCAGUAAUUGAUGUGAUUAAAUACCUUAGGC
rnacentral:lncRNA from 10 species